AAGGAAGAACACCAGUGGCGAAGGCGGAUGACUGGACGACAACUGACGGUGAGGCGCGAAAGCGUGGGGAGCGAACAGGAUUAGAUACCCUGGUAGUCCACGCUGUAAACGAUGGAUACUAGGUGUGCGGGGACUGACCCCCUGCGUGCCGCAGUUAACACAAUAAGUAUUCCACCUGGGGAGUACGAUCGCAAGGUUGAAACUCAAAGGAAUUGACGGGGGCCCGCACAAGCGGUGGAUUAUGUGGUUUAAUUCGAAGCAACGCGAAGAACCUUACCAGGGUUUGACAUCCUGCUAACGAAGUAGAGAUACAUUAGGUGCCCUUCGGGGAAAGCAGAGACAGGUGGUGCAUGGUUGUCGUCAGCUCGUGUCGUGAGAUGUUGGGUUAAGUCCCGCAACGAGCGCAACCCCUAUUCUUAGUAGCCAGCGGUUCGGCCGGGCACUCUAGGGAGACUGCCAGGGAUAACCUGGAGGAAGGUGGGGAUGACGUCAAAUCAUCAUGCCCCUUAUGACUUGGGCUACACACGUGCUACAAUGGCGUAAACAAAGUGAAGCGAAGUCGUGAGGCCAAGCAAAUCACAAAAAUAACGUCUCAGUUCGGAUUGUAGUCUGCAACUCGACUACAUGAAGCUGGAAUCGCUAGUAAUCGCAGAUCAGAAUGCUGCGGUGAAUACGUUCCCGGGUCUUGUACACACCGCCCGUCACACCAUGGGAGUCGAAAAUGCCCGAAGUCGGUGACCUAACGUAAGAAGGAGCCGCCGAAGGCAGGUUUGAUAACUGGGGUGAAGUCGUAACAAGGUAGCCGCACCG
rnacentral:rRNA from 1 species